GCGGAAGGCAGGUAGUGGCUGGUCAUGGCACCUCAGUCCCCUGGUCUACAUCCGACCGAAGUCUGCCCGCAGCCUGCCCCGGGUGGGGCAGGCGGACGGCGGCAGAGAUGGGUCCGCCCGGAGCCUGGGCGUUGGUGGCGGCCGAGAGCCCAUAGUCACAGGCCUCGAGGUUGUUCUGCAAGUAGAGAUCUAAGAAACCUCGAAAGGCCUUUGGAUCAAUGAAGAGGGAUGAUACUGCAGGAUCUUUCAUCAUGGCUUCCAUCCAGAGCUUAAGAUUUGGAGUGUGGUCUACACAUCUGUGGGAGAUGGAAAGAAUGAUGGUGUGAGCAAGGCUAAGUACGAAGGACUGGGCUUCCCUGGUGGUGCAGCGGUUAAGAAUCUGCCUGCCGGACUUCCCUGGUGGCGCAGUGGUUAAGAAUCUGCCUGCCAAUGCAGGGGACACGGGUUCAAGCCCUGGUCCGGGAAGAUCCCACGUGUCGCGGAGCAACUAAGUCCGUGCUCCACAACUACUGAGCCUGCGCUCUAGAGCCCGCAAGCCACAACUACUGAGCCCGCGUGCCUAGAGCCCGUGCUCCGCAACAAGAGAAACCACCGCAGUGAGAAGCCCGCACACCUCAAUGAAGAGUAGCCCCCGCUUGCCGCAACUAGAGAAAGCCCGCGCACGGCAGCAAAGACCCAACUCAGCCAAAAAUAAAUAAAUAAAUAAAUUUAUAUAUAUGUAAAAAUAUAUAUGUUCAAGGACUGAAAACAAGCAUGGAAAAAUGACAACAGGUGAAAAACUGGAAAUGUGGGUGAAAUUUUUCCAUGAUAUUUUCAUGUCAGUGUGAUAAAAUGUUUUAAAAGCAAGCCCAUGACAAACCAUUUUUAGGUGUUUUGGUUUGUAUCUUAAACACAACAGCUUACAGCCGCUAUCUGUUGUAAGCUAAAAUUUCCUAUUUGGUAUUAUUGCUAAUUACCUUAAAGUGAUUUUGGAAAUGGGAGUAUGAAGAAAAGAGUAGAAGGUGAGAGCAGAUACAAUGUAUCACUUCAAUAAAAAUCAAGAAGGGAUUAAUUACCUCCUCUAGCUUGCUGAAUUCUUUAUGCAAUUCUUCUUUCACGCCAGAGCAGUCUUCCUUAUUUUGCCUUCUAAGAAAGCUUAAUAACAAAGGUGGUACCUAGACAGAGAGUAAUUUCUUAGUUUAUCAGUGUGAGGCGAACUAUACCAGCCCCCUCAUAUAAAAGCACCAUAGAACCCUCGUAGUCCCAGUGUCAGGAUGUUCUAGAAACUUCAAAAGUACACCAAUUCCUUUGCUCACAGAGGUCGGGUACUGAUCUUAAAAACAGUUUUGUGGCUUAGAUGCUGUACUGGUCAGGAUUUUAUACGCUGCAAAUAAGAGAAGCCGAUUGGUGAGCUUGGGUCAAAAAUGUCCUAAAAGGACACUGAGUGGCUCAUAGAAUUGUUGAGAGGCUGAACAAACAGGUCUGGAACAUUUCAAAAUCAUGCUGGGAACUGACCUGAUGGGAAGCACCCACUGCCACCAGUGAACCGAGCACUAGAUGCUACAGUCUGUGCUGCUGCCAGAAGUUGGACUCUGAGGUAACCAAUGCCACUCUGGAAUUCAACCUGGCAACCACCCCAGCUCCUGAAAGCCAGGAGCUCUGCCACCCUCCCCAGUAGAACCAGCACCCCACACCAAGCCCGUUUCCCCACAUGGCUCAUUUCUGAAUUGAACUCUACCAUGUGUGUGUCUGAGAGGAAGAGCCUAGGUCCAGGCCUUGGCACCAGCUGCAAAGGGAGCUGGGAAGGGGAUUUUCCUGAUUUCUAUCUUGGGGAGGGCAUGAGAAGACAGUUCAAAGUGGUUGAUGACCUGAAGACUUGACAGGUGUCCUGUCAGAUGCUUUCAUGCUUGUGGUGGAGGUGUCUGUGUUUUAAUGCUCGGUCUUUGGUAUUGUCUCACUGCAAGAGACAAAAGUCCACUCGUCCAGUGGAAGUAAACAGGCACUUGUAAAAAUACAGGAGAACGUCCUGCAAGCCCAUCCACCCCAGGGUACAGCUUGCCGUCAUUGGAACUGAAGGUGUGCAGGCAGCCCUUCCUUCCACGUUUCCAUCUGGGCUUGCCUGGUCUUUCAUCUCUGCUUCUCCUUAAAUGUCUGCUCCUUGUUAUUUUCCAAAUGUCAGAUCCCUUUGCAAUGCUCUUAAUUUCUGAUUCCUUAAAAAGUCUUUUUUUGUGUGACUUUGAUUUGUCGCCUCCAAUGAUAUAUACAUACACCUCUAAAACCUCAACACAUAUAUUGUCUUUGUCUCUGUGUCUCAUUUCCAGGUUCCCAGGAGAAGGUGAUUUGGCUGUGGGUGCAGGUGGGGGCAUUUCUGGUUUGCUGAACUGGGGUCAGGAGGGUGGUGUCAUAAUAGUACUUAAGGCCACCUCUUCCCUGAGUGUGAGGAGGGAAGUAAUGGUGGGCAUCUCCAGCUGUUAGCUCAUUUUCUUUCUGGACAGUACAAUGAAUCUCGUUACUAUUUUUAAAAAUUCUCCAACAUCUUUCUU